rnacentral:rRNA from 1 species
GAUGAACGCUGGCGGCGUGCCUAAUACAUGCAAGUCGAGCGAACAGACGAGGAGCUUGCUCCUCUGACGUUAGCGGCGGACGGGUGAGUAACACGUGGAUAACCUACCUAUAAGACUGGGAUAACUUCGGGAAACCGGAGCUAAUACCGGAUAAUAUAUUGAACCGCAUGGUUCAAUAGUGAAAGACGGUUUUGCUGUCACUUAUAGAUGGAUCCGCGCCGCAUUAGCUAGUUGGUAAGGAACGGCUUACCAAGGCAACGAUGCGUAGCCGACCUGAGAGGGUGAUCGGCCACACUGGAACUGAGACACGGUCCAGACUCCUACGGGAGGCAGCAGUAGGGAAUCUUCCGCAAUGGGCGAAAGCCUGACGGAGCAACGCCGCGUGAGUGAUGAAGGUCUUCGGAUCGUAAAACUCUGUUAUUAGGGAAGAACAAAUGUGUAAGUAACUAUGCACGUCUUGACGGUACCUAAUCAGAAAGCCACGGCUAACUACGUG